rnacentral:rRNA from 1 species
ACGAGGGAAUUGCUAGCUUGCUAAUAAUUCUCUAGUGGCGCACGGGUGAGUAACACGUGAGUAACCUGCCCCCGAGAGCGGGAUAGCCCUGGGAAACUGGGAUUAAUACCGCAUAGUAUCGAAAGAUUAAAGCAGCAAUGCGCUUGGGGAUGGGCUCGCGGCCUAUUAGUUAGUUGGUGAGGUAACGGCUCACCAAGGCGAUGACGGGUAGCCGGUCUGAGAGGAUGUCCGGCCUCACUGGAACUGAGACACGGUCCAGACACCUACGGGUGGCAGCAGUCGAGAAUCAUUCACAAUGGGGGAAACCCUGAUGGUGUGACGCCGCGUGGGGGAAUGAAGGUCUUCGGAUUGUAAACCCCUGUCAUGUGGGAGCAAAUUAAAAAGAUAGUACCACAAGAGGAAGAGACGGCUAACUCUGUGCCAGCAGCCGCGGUAAUACAGAGGUCUCAAGCGUUGUUCGGAAUCACUGGGCGUAAAGCGUGCGUAGGCUGUUUCGUAAGUCGUGUGUGAAAGGCGCGGGCUCAACCCGCGGACGGCACAUGAUACUGCGAGACUAGAGUAAUGGAGGGG